rnacentral:rRNA from 1 species
CCUACGGGAGGCAGCAGUGAGGAAUAUUGGUCAAUGGGCGCGAGCCUGAACCAGCCAAGUAGCGUGAAGGAUGACUGCCCUACGGGUUGUAAACUUCUUUUAUAAAGGAAUAAAGUGAGGCACGUGUGCCUUUUUGUAUGUACUUUAUGCAUAAGGAUCGGCUAACUCCGUGCCAGCAGCCGCGGUAAUGCGGAGGAUCCGAGCGUUGUCCGGAUUUAUUGGGUGUAAAGGGAGCGUAGAGGGGUUGUUAAGUUAGUUGUGAAAGUUUGCGGCUCAACCGGAAAAUUGCAAUGGAUACUGGCAGCCUUGAGUACAGUUGAGGUAGGCGGAAUUCGUGGUGUAGCGGUGAAAUGCUGAGAUAUCACGAAGAACUCCGAUUGCGAAGGCAGCUUACUAAACUGCCACUGACAUUGAUGCUCGAAAGUGUGGGUAUCAAACAGGAUUAGAUACCCUUGUAGUC